AGAAAGGAGUGCUGCUCAUCCUCACUUCAUCAGCAAGUAAAAUGAAGAAGAAUCUCAAGAGCAAGCAACUUUUUACAGGCAGCCACUACAAGUGAUCUUCAAAAUGCCUAGUGAAGCUGUUGCUUUUGCCUGCUGAGGCAAGGUGGUUUUAGCAAGCUGGAUUUUUUGAGGGGGGGGCAAUUCACAUGACUUGUGAAAGCAAGUACACAUGCUGUUCUCAGCUUAUGCAGUGUAGAUCUCAUGCUUUUCCUGUGCCCCAGGUUGCAGUCCUUCAGGAGAAAAUCUGCCCCACUGUGGUCUCUCCGUUGGAGUUCCUGCUCAGCUGUGCAGUUUUCCUCUUCUUAAGUGUGUUAUCACAGAGGCUCCAUGGUGUGUUCAUCUCUGCCUUGUGGUAGGGCUGCUGUGGAAUGGGCUGGAUUGGGUUGGAACCAACUAUGUCAGGCACAGAACAGCCCUGCCCUCUCCUUGCACUGAUUUCCCCACCCAACCUGGGAAUGGGCACCUGAUAGACUAUGUAUAAGGUGUGUUAGCAGCCUUCAGAAUUGCUUCUCUACCCUCUCUUGCCCAUGCUCUUAACCGUGGCUGGAUAUUCUAGGGUACAGUGGUAAGGUGGAGAUGUCGUGGUAGGAAAAGUGGGAGAAUGGCCCAUGAGAGAAGAGCUGCUGUUCCUGGGUGGCAGGAGGCUGAAGCAGCCCAAAGUUCAGCUGGAGCCCAGCUCAAACUAGAGGCAUGCCAAGAGGGCAGUGAAGAACUGGGGUUUCAUUACUGUGCUCCAGUAAAUAUGAGGAAAUGAGUAUUGUCUCUACUUACACAAACUGAAAGAAAAGUAUUUAAGCAUGGCUUUUGCCUUAACCACAGCUAUAAUUAAGUGAAUUAAACUACAAGUUUGAUUUCAUAAUUGGUAUUUCUGUUACCACAAAGUACAGCCAUUCCAUUUUCAAAUACAUUAAGCUGUAAGAAACUGCUUUAUACCAGCUAAAGCUUCAUAAUACAUUUAUGUGUUAUUGGAAGCAUAAUUCAUGCAGAGAGUUAUUAAAACCUUACCAGCUUCCAGUUUAAAUCUUUGCACAGUGAUUUAACUCCCUUCUCAUUCUUUAUGUGACAUUUUCAUAGUAAUUAAACAUGAAUAUGUCAUUACAGACUGUACUCAAAGGUCCUGUGGUGUGUAGGAGAGGUAGCAAUAGUCCUGUUGGUCUCGGAUGCUGUAGUAAGAUUGUGUCCAUGAAUUAGAUCUUCCUAUCUAGAAUUCCUCUGAACAGAUCAAACAAAUGCUGCUUUUAAGUAAUGGGGAUAGAGUACCUUAUAUUCUUUGCUAAGAAUGCAAAUAACUUAAUUUUUCUCAUCGUUAUUAGAAGUUUCUCACUCUGUGUUAUGCCAUUCCGUGACUUGCAAUUCUCUUCCAAUGCUAAAUCUAAGCAGCUCUAUUAUUAGCACAAGGAAAGACCUGAAUUAGUGGAGAUUGCAUUUAGAUGUGCAAGAUCUCCAUCUUGCUGUUCCCUGUAUGUUUACUUUGUGCUUGUUUCUAUUACAGACUGUAAGGAUGUUGGAUGGAUUUUUUUAGCUAAGCUACUAACAAGUGUGUAAUUUAUUAAAUCUGAUCAUGCAAGCAAAAUAA